UACGGGGGGGGCAAGCGUUGUUCGGAAUUACUGGGCGUAAAGGGCUCGUAGGUGGCCAACUAAGUCAGACGUGAAAUCCCCAGGCUUAACCUGGGAACUGCGUCUGAUACUGGAUGGCUUGAAUUCGGGAGAGGGAUGCAGAAUUCCAGGUGUAGCGGUGAAAUGCGUAGAUAUCUGGAGGAACACCGGUGGCGAAGGCGGCAUCCUGGACCGAUACUGACGCUGAGGAGCGAAAGCCAGGGGAGCAAACGGG
rnacentral:rRNA from 1 species